AACGGAGUAAGCCGAAAACCGAUUAAAGUAGGCA
rnacentral:ncRNA from 1 species